rnacentral:rRNA from 1 species
UUGAGUUUGAUCCUGGCUCAGAUUGAACGCUGGCGGCAGGCCUAACACAUGCAAGUCGAACGGUAGCACAGAGAGCUUGCUCUCGGGUGACGAGUGGCGGACGGGUGAGUAAUGUCUGGGAAACUGCCUGAUGGAGGGGGAUAACUACUGGAAACGGUAGCUAAUACCGCAUAACGUCGCAAGACCAAAGAGGGGGACCUUCGGGCCUCUUGCCAUCAGAUGUGCCCAGAUGGGAUUAGCUAGUAGGUGGGGUAACGGCUCACCUAGGCGACGAUCCCUAGCUGGUCUGAGAGGAUGACCAGCCACACUGGAACUGAGACACGGUCCAGACUCCUACGGGAGGCAGCAGUGGGGAAUAUUGCACAAUGGGCGCAAGCCUGAUGCAGCCAUGCCGCGUGUAUGAAGAAGGCCUUCGGGUUGUAAAGUACUUUCAGCGGGGAGGAAGGUGUUGUGGUUAAU